UGCCGGGGUGUGUGUGUGUGUGUGUGUGUGUUGGGUGUUUAUCGAGCUGGCGGAGGCAGAGACGCAGAAACAUGGACAAACUGAAAAAAGUGUUGAACGGUAGCGAUUCGAACGAGGACGGAGGCCCCCUGAGUGAGGUAAUUGAGGGAACCUCCUUAGGAUGGGGAACCAGAGUGAAAGGAUUUCUUGCCUGCUUUGUAGCAGGAAUUAUUUGCUCCAUAUUGGGUGUCUGUUUUCUCUGGAUUCCAAAAAGAGGGUUAAUACUUUUCGCUGUCUUUUAUAGCAUUGGAAACAUAUCAUCCAUUGGUAGUACAAUGUUUCUGAUGGGACCUGUGAAACAAAUUAAAAAGAUGUUUGAACCAACUCGACUGGCUGCUACCAUUGUGAUGCUUGUUUGUCUUGUGUGCACACUAUGCUCUGCUUUUUGGUGGAAGAAGGCAGCACUUGCUUUGAUAUUUUGUGUGCUGCAAUUCUUUGCUAUGGCCUGGUACAGUAUUUCAUACAUUCCAUUUGCAAGGUGAGUUGUGCAAUGCAAAUGAACUGCAAUUACUGUGCACCUGAAAAAGAGACAGAAAAUGCAAGAAAUGCACAAGUCCAUCAGUUUUAAAGAAACCUUGGUAAUGUUUUGGGUGCACCCUUCAACAGAACUGAAAAUUGAAAGAUGAUAAACAAGUUCUAGAUGCAGUGAUAAAGUGCUUUACAACAUGUUUGGCAUGAAAACUAUGUACCCUGAAGAUGGAGCAUUGAGAAGAGUGGGGCAUCUGCUUUAUGUUUUUUGUAUCUGUUUACACAAGAUCACAAGUUUCUCUAAGUGUCUUAAUGCAUACCUUUUUAAUGCAUGCUGCCAUUAAUUCUGCCUCUCUUGAAGCAUAACUUCAUAAUUCACAAUUGGAAAAUUUGCAAAUAUUGGUACACUUAUAACUUGUUGAUAAUUUCUAAUUUCUCCAUUAUUUUAAAAGGGUGAUCAUUAUCCUAAAAAGUCACAUAACAUAUUUUAAGCAAGGAUAUAACCAAGACAAAUUCAUACCUUAAUUGCUAGAAGAUUAUUUAGAUACUGCUCAGUCAAUUUAAAAAAGAAGCACACAGGUAAUUUCAAACUAGUCAAACAUGGAUUAUAAAUCUUUCAGAAAUGCUGCUACAACUUGUACUUUUGCAAAUGCAUCCAGGGUGUGUUGACUUAAUUAGUGAAAACUCAAAUGGAGAAAUUGAAAACACUGCAGAUUUUUUAAUGUUGAUAAUUGUGCUAAAACAUUAUUUUCUAAAUACUGGCCAAAGAGUGAUUUUUGAAGUUGUAACCUCAUUGCCUUAAUUAUGUGGUUAACACAAAUGUUUUUGCUGUUGAAAUUCGUGGCUUUUACAAAAAUGGCUAAGAAAUAAUGAAUGUCUUAAGACGUUACUGUUGAGCCUGGCAACAACUAAAGGUUGUCUUGUUUAAUUUCCAAAACAAACGCCCAAUGAUCAUGAAAAACAAUUUAAAUCCCAAGUAAAAUACCAAUAAUAGUGCCUUCAUUUUGGGGAAUUCAAGCAGAUACGUUCCCGGUCUUUAGCUGCAGUCCGAUUUACUGAUAUCUAGAAAAUCAUAAAAUCUACUAAAUAACUUUCAUAAUGCAUUUUUAUGACCUAUUAGAUGUUUUUUGUGAAGGUUACAGAUAUGCCUUUUGUGUCAGUAUGAUGUACAUCUAUAAUGCAAAGUUGAAGCUGACAAUGUACAGGGUUUCUUGGGAUUUAUAAUUGCUUUUGCUGCAUAGUACUGCAGGCAGUCUUCUAAAUAUUUUAAGCGAAGGGAUCAGAAAUGUAUUACUGCAUUAUCUCAUUGGAAGAAAAUUUAAUACAGAUGCAUUCAACAUUAUAUUACUGUUUUGGUAAGUACUUUUAAACGUUAAUUACUUCUAAGAUCUGUAAUUUUGGUAAACUGCAUCUUUAACUAUUGCAACACCUUCCCACCACCACUAUCCCUUUCCCGUAAGAAUGUAUUUGACAAAAAUCCAGUGAUCAUUAGAUACGAUUUACAUCUCAAGUAAAAUUACAAUAGUAGUGCUUGCUUAUUAACGGGUUUAUGUUUAUGAACAGGAUAGAUGCUUAGCUAUUCCAAUCAAAUGCAAUAAUGUUGUGAUCUCCAACAACAUAGUGUAAAAUUUUGUGCACAGUUUUGAGUUUAAGAUCUUCCAUUCUGGUUAUGAAGUUUUGACUUAGCCUUGAUUGAAGUGAACGUGAAAAAAAAAUUCUAGAGAAUUUCUGAAAGUUUUCCAUUUUGAAUUUUAAUUAAAGUUGAAGGGGGUCAGGUUAAUAGAUUGUGCUAGAGGUAAUGUAAUUGCAGCCUCUAGUACUUAUGGAAAUAAUUAAAGAUUAAGGCAAUUUUUGAGAUCAAGUAGGACUAGGGUAGCACUUUUAGUUUAUAAACAGCUUGCUGCAUAUAUAACUAUUUACAUCAUAACAAACAUCCCAAGUUGCUUCAUAGUUGGAUAGCUGCACUUUCAUAUUUUUCUUUCCAUUUUUGGUUUUGCUCUCUCACGAAAAUAGAGGGAAAAUGAAUAUGAUCUAUUGUAUAUUUAGUGGUGUGAACAUUAAAAUAUUUUCAAUUA